UACAGAGGGGGCAAGCGUUGUUCGGAAUUACUGGGCGUAAAGGGCGCGUAGGCGGCCUUCUAAGUCGAACGUGAAAUCCCCGGGCUCAACCCGGGAACUGCGUCCGAUACUGGAAGGCUUGAAUCCGGGAGAGGGAUGCGGAAUUCCAGGUGUAGCGGUGAAAUGCGUAGAUAUCUGGAGGAACACCGGUGGCGAAGGCGGCAUCCUGGACCGGCAUUGACGCUGAGGCGCGAAAGCGUGGGGAGCAAACAGG
rnacentral:rRNA from 1 species